rnacentral:RNase_P_RNA from 1 species
AGAGUUGGCGAGGAGGUUGCAGGCUGACACAAGCUGUCAGUUUGAGGAAAGUCCGGACUCCCGAAAGAUCGAACUUGCUGGGUAAUUCCCAGUGCGCGCGAGCGUGAGGAGAGUGCCACAGAAACAUACCGCCUUUUACAGCGAACAGCCGUCUUCACGGAUGAGGUGAUAACUAAAAAAGGUAAGGGUGCAAAGGUGCGGUAAGAGCGCACCAGCAGUAUCGAGAGGUGCUGGCUCGGUAAACCCCGGUUGGGAGCAAGGUCGGAGGGACUAGGGUUGGUCUUUUUCCCGUCCCGUUUUUGGCGAACCGCUUGAGGUGUCUGGUAACAGGCAUCCUAGAUAGAUAAUCUCCCUCUACACGAUAGAGAACAGAACCCGGCUUAUGUCCGACUCUCUUU